UCUGUUAAGGAUGUGAGGAGGAAGACGCAGUGAACUGAAACAUCUAAGUAGCUGCAGGAAGAGAAAGCAAAAGCGAUUGCCUUAGUAGCGGCGAGCGAAACGGCAGAAGGGCAAACCGAAGAGUUUACUCUUCGGGGUUGUAGGACUGCAAUGUGGACUCAAAGAUUAUAGAAGAAUGAUUUGGGAAGAUCAGCCAAAGAGAGUAAUAGCCUCGUAUUUAAAAUAGUCUUUGUACUUAGCAGUAUCCUGAGUACGGCGGGACACGUGAAAUCCCGUCGGAAUCUGGGAGGACCAUCUCCCAACCCUAAAUACUCCCUAGUGACCGAUAGUGAACCAGUACCGUGAGGGAAAGGUGAAAAGCACCCCGGGAGGGGAGUGAAAUAGAACCUGAAACCGUGUGCCUACAACAAGUUCGAGCCCGUUAAUGGGUGAGAGCGUGCCUUUUGUAGAAUGAACCGGCGAGUUACGUUAUGAUGCGAGGUUAAGUUGAAGAGACGGAGCCGUAGGGAAACCGAGUCUGAAUAGGGCGCCUUAGUAUCAUGACGUAGACCCCGAAACCAUGUGACCUACCCAUGAGCAGGUUGAAGGUGCGGUAAGACGCACUGGAGGACCGAACCAGGGCACGUUGAAAAGUGCUUGGAUGACUUGUGGGUAGCGGAGAAAUUCCAAACGAACUUGGAGAUAGCUGGUUCUCUCCGAAUAGCUUUAGGGCUAGCGUCGACAUUAGAGAUUCUUGGAGGUAGAGCACUGUUUGGGUGAGGGGGUCCAUCCCGGAUUACCAAUCUCAGAUAAACUCCGAAUGCCAAUGAAUUAUGGUCGGCAGUCAGACUGCGAGUGCUAAGAUCCGUAGUCGAAAGGGAAACAGCCCAGACCACCAGCUAAGGUCCCAAAAUAAUUGUUAAGUGGAAAAGGAUGUGGGGUUGCACAGACAACUAGGAUGUUAGCUUAGAAGCAGCUAUUCAUUCAAAGAGUGCGUAAUAGCUCACUAGUCGAGUGACCCUGCGCCGAAAAUGUACCGGGGCUAAAACAUUUACCGAAGCUGUGGAUACCUUUAUAGGUAUGGUAGGAGAGCGUUCUAUGUGUGAUGAAGGUAUACCGUGAGGAGUGCUGGAACGCAUAGAAGUGAGAAUGCCGGUAUGAGUAGCGAAAGACAGGUGAGAAUCCUGUCCACCGUAAGACUAAGGUUUCCAGGGGAAGGCUCGUCCGCCCUGGGUUAGUCGGGACCUAAGGAGAGACCGAAAGGUGUAUCCGAUGGACAACAGGUUGAUAUUCCUGUACUAGAGUAUGUAGUGAUGGAGGGACGCAGUAGGCUAACUAAAGCAGACGAUUGGAAGAGUCUGUCUAAGCAGUGAGGUGUGAAUUGAGUCAAAUGCUUAAUUCUAUAACAUUGAGCUGUGAUGGGGAGCGAAGUUUAGUAGCGAAGUUAGUGACGUCACACUGCCAAGAAAAGCUUCUAGCGUUUAAACAUACUCUACCCGUACCGCAAACCGACACAGGUAGUCGAGGCGAGUAGCCUCAGGUGAGCGAGAGAACUCUCGUUAAGGAACUCGGCAAAAUGACCCCGUAACUUCGGGAGAAGGGGUGCUGACUUAAAGUCAGCCGCAGUGAAUAGGCCCAAGCAACUGUUUAUCAAAAACACAGCUCUCUGCUAAAUCGUAAGAUGAUGUAUAGGGGGUGACGCCUGCCCGGUGCUGGAAGGUUAAGAGGAGUGCUUAGCGUAAGCGAAGGUAUGAAUUGAAGCCCCAGUAAACGGCGGCCGUAACUAUAACGGUCCUAAGGUAGCGAAAUUCCUUGUCGGGUAAGUUCCGACCCGCACGAAAGGCGUAAUGAUUUGGGCACUGUCUCAACGAGAGACUCGGUGAAAUUUUAGUACCUGUGAAGAUGCAGGUUACCCGCGACAGGACGGAAAGACCCCAUGGAGCUUUACUGCAGUUUGAUAUUGAGUGUCUGUACCACAUGUACAGGAUAGGUAGGAGUCUAAGAGAUCGGGACGCCAGUUUCGAAGGAGACGCUGUUGGGAUACUACCCUUGUGUUAUGGCCACUCUAACCCAGAUAGGUGAUCCCUAUCGGAGACAGUGUCUGACGGGCAGUUUGACUGGGGCGGUCGCCUCCUAAAAGGUAACGGAGGCGCCCAAAGGUUCCCUCAGAAUGGUUGGAAAUCAUUCGCAGAGUGUAAAGGUAUAAGGGAGCUUGACUGCGAGAGCUACAACUCGAGCAGGGACGAAAGUCGGGCUUAGUGAUCCGGUGGUUCCGUAUGGAAGGGCCAUCGCUCAACGGAUAAAAGCUACCCUGGGGAUAACAGGCUUAUCUCCCCCAAGAGUUCACAUCGACGGGGAGGUUUGGCACCUCGAUGUCGGCUCGUCGCAUCCUGGGGCUGUAGUCGGUCCCAAGGGUUGGGCUGUUCGCCCAUUAAAGCGGCACGCGAGCUGGGUUCAGAACGUCGUGAGACAGUUCGGUCCCUAUCCGUCGCGGGCGUAGGAAAUUUGAGAGGAUCUGCUCCUAGUACGAGAGGACCAGAGUGGACUUACCGCUGGUGUACCAGUUGUCUUGCCAAAGGCAUCGCUGGGUAGCUAUGUAGGGAAGGGAUAAACGCUGAAAGCAUCUAAGUGUGAAACCCACCUCAAGAUGAGAUUUCCCAUGAUUAUAUAUCAGUAAGAGCCCUGAGAGAUGAUCAGGUAGAUAGGUUAGAAGUGGAAGUGUGGCGACACAUGUAGCGGACUAAUACUAAUAGCUCGAGGACUUAUCCA
rnacentral:rRNA from 1 species